rnacentral:rRNA from 1 species
UACGUAGGGUGCAAGCGUUGUCCGGAAUUAUUGGGCGUAAAGAGCUCGUAGGCGGCUCGUCGCGUCGGCUGUGAAAACCUGGGGCUCAACCCCGGGCCUGCAGCCGAUACGGGCGAGCUAGAAUUCGGUAGGGGAGACUGGAAUUCCUGGUGUAGCGGUGAAAUGCGCAGAUAUCAGGAGGAACACCGGUGGCGAAGACGGGUCUCUGGGCCGAUAUUGACGCUGAGGAGCGAAAGCGUGGGGAGCGAACAGG